rnacentral:rRNA from 1 species
GACGAACGCUGGCGGCGUGCCUAACACAUGCAAGUCCACGAGAAAGCGGUAGCAAUACUGCCGGUAAAGUGGCGAACGGGUGAGUAACACGUAGGUAACCUGCCCUAAGGUUUGGAAUAACCUCGAGAAAUCGGGGCUAAUACUGAAUAAUGCAGCGGACCCGCAUGGGUAUGUUGUUAAAGUGGUCUUGGCUUGCCAAGUUCACACCUAAGGAUGGACCUGCGUCCCAUUAGCAGUUGGUGAGGUAACGGCCCCACCAAGGCGACGAUGGGUAGCCGGCCUGA